rnacentral:rRNA from 1 species
ACGAACCGUGCGAACGUUGUUCGGAUUCACUGGGCUUAAAGGGCGCGUAGGCGGACGUCCGAGUCCGGGGUGAAAGCCCCCGGCCCAACCGGGGAACUGCCUGGGAUACCGGACGUCUCGAGGGAGGUAGGGGCCGACGGAACUUCCGGUGGAGCGGUGAAGUGCGUAGGGAUCGGAAGGAACGCCGGUGGCGAAAGCGGUCGGCUGGGCCUCUUCUGACGCUGAGGCGCGAAAGCCAGGGGAGCGAACG